rnacentral:rRNA from 1 species
UUGUUGGUUUCUCCCUUCUGACGAACCAUGAUGUCAUUUAUUUGGUGUUAUGGGGAAUCAGGACUGUUACUUUGAAAAAAUUAGAGUGUUUAAAGCAGGCUCACGCUUGAAUACAUUAGCAUGGAAUAAUGAAAUAGGACGUUUGAUUCUAUUUUGUUGGUUUCUAGGAUCGACGUAAUGAUUAAUAGGGAUAGUUGGGGGCAUUAGUAUUCAAUUGUCAGAGGUGAAAUUCUUGGAUUUAUUGAAGACUAACUACUGCGAAAGCAUUUGCCAAGGAUGUUUUCAUUAAUCAAGAACGAAAGUUAGGGGAUCGAAGACGAUCAGAUACCGUCGUAGUCUUAACCAUAAACUAUGCCGACUAGGGAUCGGAUGAUGUUAAUUUUUUAAUGACUCAUUCGGCGCCUUACG